GGGAAGUACAAAUUGGCAACAUAUAGAGACAGUCCCUACCCAACAGUGGGCUCACAGUCUAAAAGGGGGAGUCUCAGUGUCUCAGUGUGUUCAGGCAACAAACGGACUCUCCCUAUCUAUCUUGUCGGCUCUCCUGUCUCUGAGAGAAUCCUAGACUGUCAUCAUGGCUCUACAGCAGUUGCUGGCUGCAGCUGUUGGGGCUGAGGAAGAGCUGGAAAAGGAAUUCUCUUUACCCCACAACUUACGCCCCUAUAGAUUUGGUUUCUGUUUCAGGCUGAAAAUAAUCCUUGGGUGUCUAAAGCUUUGGGAAGGGCAAGGCACGGGGAAACCAAGGCUUGCGUUUCCUCAAAUCCACCUCUAACGUGUCUUGACUCGGCAUGAGUGUUUUGAUUGUUUUAAAAACCAUUUUCAAGGCCUGUACCAAGGUCACUGUACCCACUGAGUAAACUGACAAAGUAUCCAUCCGUCUCACACUAAGUAGGACAGAUAUAAAUUUUGAGAUACCAUCCUGCCACCUGAAAAAUGGCCAAUGGGACCGCUUGCAUUCCCACUUCUUUGGCUGAUAGGCAGGAGAGGGCAUGAUGGCAGUGGCAGUGAACUAACAGGUAAGUACUCUUUCUCCUCUUACUCCUUGUUUUCUUCCCUUUCCUCUUUUGCCGCCUCUGUCCUUCCAUACGCCAUUUUCUGGUGAUUUCUGGCCCUGGAGAACUGAAGGAGGGUAGCUGCACUGGAAAUCUAUAGGGGAGAAGGAGGAGGAGAAGGACAAGGAGAAGGAGAAGCAGAGCAAAGUCCUGGAAAGACCUGCAGCAGAGAGAGCAGGUGGAAAAGGCUGGGUCACCUGUUUAUGCAAGGAAGAAAAAGAGGUCAAUAAUCACCGCAGCAUUUGUGCCAAAUCGCCCUUCUACAGAUCCAGGGCCGAGUUCUGUGUAUGGAGGAGAGACAGUGAACAGCAAGAAAGGGCAUCCCUGAGGCUGACCAUUUGGUGACGGGAUCCUUGGGAAAGGAGGACUCAGGAAGGAAAAUUCCAAAGUGAAGACUUAGGAGAUAGUAGC